rnacentral:ncRNA from 1 species
UUUCGUUCGAUGACGAAGAGAGUAAUUUUACAAAAAUUCCAAAGCGAGUUAGGGUUGGUGGGAGCCUAAUGGAUUAUGUAAAAUGAAGCGCACUUCUGAGAUGCUGUUCUGAAUUCAUAGUAGGUUCAGCCGGGGUACUCCCCGAUAUCAAGGGCAAAGAAGGUUCAGGUUGAACAACAAGAGUGGUACCGCGGGCAAAUCUCGUCUCUAAU